CUACGUGUCAGAUGCGCAGUCGACGUGCAUAUUCCGAUGCCUACGUGACUGUGAUGCUGCAGUUUGGUAGUAAUGUUUGUGAAUAAGAAAGAGGAUGAGGAGACGCCACCACUCGAUCAGCGGGUGCCAGAUGGU
ensembl:ncRNA F35G2.9 ncRNA